rnacentral:rRNA from 1 species
AGCGAACGCUGGCGGCAGGCCUAACACAUGCAAGUCGAACGGUGAAGCUCCAGCUUGCUGGAGUGGAUCAGUGGCGAACGGGUGAGUAACACGUGAGCAACCUGCCCCUGACUCUGGAAUAAGCGCUGGAAACGGCGUCUAAUACUGGAUACGAGAAGGGUCCGCAUGGGCACUUUCUGGAAAGUUUUUCGGUUGGGGAUGGGCUCGCGGCCUAUCAGCUUGUUGGUGAGGUAAUGGCUCACCAAGGCGACGACGGGUAGCCGGCCUGAGAGGGCGACCGGCCACACUGGGACUGAGACACGGCCCAGACUCCUACGGGAGGCAGCAGUGGGGAAUAUUGCACAAUGGGCGAAAGCCUGAUGCAGCGACGCCGCGUGAGGGAUGACGGCCUUCGGGUUGUAAACCUCUUUCAGCAGGGAAGAAGCGAAAGUGACGGUACCUGCAGAAGAAGCACCGGCUAACUACGUG